UACGUAGGGGGCUAGCGUUGUCCGGAAUCAUUGGGCGUAAAGCGUGUGUAGGUGGCUCGCUAAGUCGGUUGUGAAAUCCCUGGGCUCAACCUGGGAAUUGCAGUCGAUACUGGCAAGCUCGAGUUCGGUAGAGGGUGACGGAAUUCCCGGUGUAGCGGUGAAAUGCGUAGAUAUCUGGAGGAACACCGGUGGCGAAGGCGGCGUUCUGGACUGCAUCUGACACUGAGGAACGAAAGCCAGGGGAGCAAACGGG
rnacentral:rRNA from 1 species